UACGUAGGGUGCAAGCGUUGUCCGGAAUUAUUGGGCGUAAAGAGCUCGUAGGCGGUCUGUCGCGUCUGCUGUGAAAACCUAGGGCUUAACUCUGGGCGUGCAGUGGGUACGGGCAGGCUAGAGUGCGGUAGGGGAGACUGGAAUUCCUGGUGUAGCGGUGAAAUGCGCAGAUAUCAGGAGGAACACCGGUGGCGAAAGGCGGGUCUCUGGGCCGUAACUGACGCUGAGGAGCGAAAGCAUGGGGAGCGAACAGG
rnacentral:rRNA from 1 species